rnacentral:rRNA from 1 species
GUCCACGCCGUAAACGAUGAGUACUGGGUGUCGCGGGUAGUUGACCCCUGCGGUGCCGUAGCUAACGCGUUAAGUACUCCGCCUGGGGAUUACGGUCGCAAGAUUAAAACUCAAAGGAAUUGACGGGGGCCCGCACAAGCGGUGGAGCAUGUGGUUUAAUUCGACGCAACGCGAAGAACCUUACCUGGGCUAGACAACGGCGGACCGCCCUAGAGAUAGGGCUUUCCCUUCGGGGACUGCCGGUUCAGGUGCUGCAUGGCUGUCGU